rnacentral:rRNA from 1 species
UACCAGCUCUCCGAGUGGUAGGGAUGAUUAUUGGGCUUAAAGCGUCCGUAGCCGGCUUAGCAAGUCUCCUGUUAAAUUCAGCGACCUAAUCGUUGAGCCGCGGGAGACACUACUAGGCUAGGAGGCGGGAGAGGCCGACGGUAUUCUCGGGGUAGGGGUGAAAUCCUAUAAUCCCGGGAGGACCACCAGUGGCGAAGGCUGUCGGCUAGAACGCGCUCGACGGUGAGGGACGAAAGCUGGGGGAGCGAACCGGAUUAGAUACCCGGGUAGUCCCAGCUGUAAACGAUGCGGGCUAGGUGUUGGGGUGGCUACGAGCCACUUCAGUGCCGCAGGGAAGCCAUUAAGCCCGCCGCCUGGGGAGUACGGCCGCAAGGCUGAAGCUUAAAGGAUUGGCGGGGAGCACCACAAGGCGUGAAGCUUGCGGUUC